rnacentral:tRNA from 1 species
GGGAGUGCAUGGGGCCCGGUGGCUCUCUCGGACUUCAAACCCGUUGUGGGGUGCGUUCCAUCCCAGGUAGGUUCGACUCCUACACACUCCCGCCA